AGUGAACGCUGGCGGUAGGCCUAACACAUGCAAGUCGAACGGCAGCACAGUAAGAGCUUGCUCUUACGGGUGGCGAGUGGCGGACGGGUGAGGAAUACAUCGGAAUCUACUUUUUCGUGGGGGAUAACGUAGGGAAACUUACGCUAAUACCGCAUACGACCUACGGGUGAAAGCAGGGGAUCUUCGGACCUCACGCGAUUGAAUGAGCCGAUGUCGGAUUAGCUAGUUGGCGGGGUAAAGGCCCACCAAGGCGACGAUCCGUAGCUGGUCUGAGAGGAUGAUCAGCCACACUGGAACUGAGACACGGUCCAGACUCCUACGGGAGGCAGCAGUGGGGAAUAUUGGACAAUGGGCGCAAGCCUGAUCCAGCCAUACCGCGUGGGUGAAGAAGGCCUUCGGGUUGUAAAGCCCUUUUGUUGGGAAAGAAAAGCAGCAGGUUAAUACCCCGCUGUUCUGACGGUACCCAAAGAAUAAGCACCGGCUAACUUCGUG
rnacentral:rRNA from 1 species